GAUGAACGCUAGCUACAGGCUUAACACAUGCAAGUCGAGGGGCAGCGGUAUCGAAAGCUUGCUUUCGGUAGCCGGCGACCGGCGCACGGGUGAGUAACGCGUAUCGAACCUGCCUCAUACUCGGGAAUAGCCUUGCGAAAGUAAGAUUAAUGCCCGGUGUUUUCAGAGUCCCGCAUGAGGCUUUGAACAAAGAUUUAUCGGUAUGAGAUGGGGAUGCGUCCCAUUAGCUUGUUGGCGGGGUAACGGCCCACCAAGGCAUCGAUGGGUAGGGGUUCUGAGGGGAAGGUCCCCCACAUUGGAACUGAGACACGGUCCAAACUCCUACGGGAGGCAGCAGUGAGGAAUAUUGGUCAAUGGGCGGAAGCCUGAACCAGCCAAGUAGCGUGCAGGAAGACGGCCCUCCGGGUGGUAAACUGCUUUUAGUUGGGAAUAAAACGGGGCUCGUGAGCCCCCUUGCAUGUACCAUCAGAAAAAGGACCGGCUAAUUCCGUG
rnacentral:rRNA from 1 species